GACCGCUCCGGUGGCCUAGUGGUUAGAGCGCCCGCAUCGGAUGCGGGAGGUCGUGGGUUCAAACACAGGCUGAGUCA